GGGGAUUUGGCUCAGUGGUAGAGCGCUUGCCUAGAAUGCGCAAGGUCCUGGGUUCGGUCCCCAGCCCCG
rnacentral:tRNA from 1 species